AUGGAGGCGCAGCAGUCCGCCGAUCUCGCCGCCCGCCUCACCAAGCGCCUCGCGGACGCCAACAGGGACCGCAACCUGGUCUUCUCGCCGCUCUCCAUCCACGCCGUUCUCGCGCUCCUGGCCGCCGGCGCCGGCGGGGACACCCUGGAAGAGAUCCUCCGCGUCCUGGGCGCACGGUCCCGCAGCGAGCUAGUGGACUCCGUGGCGCGCCUCCUGGACGGACCCCUCAGGGACAGGUCGUCGGAGCCUGACGGCGGCGGGCCGAGCGUGGCGUUCGCGUGCGGCGUGUGGAGCGACCUGACGCGGCCGCUGAAGCCGGCCUUCCGCGACGCCGUCGUCGGCAAGUACAAGGCGGAGGCCAGCUCCGUCGACUUCCGCAGAUACCCAGAGCAGGCGGUGCAGCAGAUCGACGCGUGGGCCGCGGCGGCCACGAGGAACCUCAUCCACUCCGCCGUCCCUCCGGGAGCCGUGCACCGGGGCACGGACCUCGUGCUGGCCAACGCCAUCUACUUCCGGGGCAAGUGGGACCUGCCGUUCUACGAGAGCUCGACCAAGAACAGGCCCUUCUACCGGCUCGACGGCACCGCCGUCGACGUCCCCUUCAUGUCCAACUACGACCGUCACUUCAUCGCGGAGCACGACGGGUUCAAGGUGCUCCAGCUGCACUACAAGCGCAGUUCACGGGCUGGGGAGCCUGCUGGACAAGAUCAUGUCGGCGUCCGCCGCAGGCUUCCUGCGCGAGCACCUGCCCAAGGGCACGGUCUCCGUCGGCGAGUUCGGGGUGCCCAAGUUCGAGCUCUCCUUCCAGAGCAGCCUCGUCGGCGUGCUCAACGACCUGGGGCUCCGCCUGCCCUUCACCCAGGACGCCGACCUCUCCGAGAUGCUGGAGGACGGCGACGGCGACGGCGACGGCUUGCCGUUCCUCGUGCAGGACGUCUUCCAGAAGGCCAUCAUCCAGGUGAACGAGGAAGGGACCAAAGCCGCCGCCGUCACCAUGUCGUUAUUCUACAGUCCGACAAGCCCUCCUGUCUGGCCACGACAGGUGGAUUUCGUCGCCGACCACCCGUUCGCCUACUUCAUAGUGGAGGAGGCGUCGCACGCCGUCCUCUUCGCGGGGCACGUCGUCGACCCUGCCAAUGGCGCCGCGGCGGCGAUCCCGUC
rnacentral:rRNA from 1 species